rnacentral:tRNA from 2 species
GCUCCCAUCGUCUAGUGGCCUAGGAUGCCGCCCUUUCACGGCGGACACAGGGGUUCGAAUCCCCUUGGGAGUA